UACGGGGGGGGCGAAGCGUUGUUCGGAAUUACUGGGCGGUAAAGGGCUCGUAGGCGGCCAACUAAGUCAGACGAUGAAAUCCCUCAGCUUAACUGGGGAACUGCGUCUAGAUACUGGCGAGCUUGAGUGCAGGAGAGGAACGCGGAAUUCCAGGUGUAGCGGUGAAAUGCGUAGAUAUCUGGAGACACCGGUGGACGAAGGCGGCGGAUUC
rnacentral:rRNA from 1 species